rnacentral:hammerhead_ribozyme from 1 species
AUCCACCCGACGAGUCUCAAACGGGACGAAACGCGCGUUCUGGAU